GGUUAAGCUACUAAGAGCGCACGGAGGAUGCCUAGGCGCUAGGAGCCGAAGAAGGACGUGGCGAACGACGAAAUGCCUCGGGGAGCCGUAAGCAGGCUUUGAUCCGGGGAUGUCCGAAUGGGGAAACCCGGCUGGAGUAAUGUCCAGUCACUCAUGACUGAAUACAUAGGUUAUGAAGAGGCAGACCAGGGGAACUGAAACAUCUAAGUACCCUGAGGAAGAGAAAACAAUAGUGAUUCCGUCAGUAGCGGCGAGCGAACGCGGAUUAGCCCAAACCAAGGAG
rnacentral:rRNA from 1 species